AUUGAAUGGCUCAGUGAGGCCUUCGGACUGGCUCAGGGAGGUUGGCAACGACCACCCCGAGCCGGAAAGUUCGUCAAACUCGGUCAUUUAGAGGAAGUAAAAGUCGUAACAAGGUUUCCGUAGGUGAACCUGCGGAAGGAUCAUU
rnacentral:rRNA from 1 species